rnacentral:rRNA from 1 species
CCUACGGGGGACAGCAGUGGGGAAUAUUGGGCAAUGGGCGCAAGCCUGACCCAGCAACGCCGCGUGAAGGAAGAAGGCUUUCGGGUUGUAAACUUCUUUUAAGGGGGAAGAGCAGAAGACGGUACCCCUUGAAUAAGCCACGGCUAACUACGUGCCAACAGCCGCGGUAAUACGUAGGUGGCAAGCGUUGUCCGGAUUUACUGGGUGUAAAGGGCGUGCAGCCGGAGAGACAAGUCAGAUGUGAAAUCCACGGGCUCAACCCGUGAACUGCGUUUGAAACUGUUUCCCUUGAGUGUCGGAGAGGUAAUCGGAAUUCCUUGUGUAGCGGUGAAAUGCGUAGAUAUAAGGAAGAACACCAGUGGCGAAGGCGGAUUACUGGACGAUAACUGACGGUGAGGCGCGAAAGCGUGGGGAGCAAACAGGAUUAGAUACCCGUGUAGUC